GACGAACGCUGGCGGCGUGCCUAACACAUGCAAGUCGAACGAGGUCCAAGGGAGCUUGCUCCCUGACGACCUAGUGGCGAACGGGUGAGUAACACGUGAGAAACCUGCCUCGGAGUGGGGAAUAACUCGGGGAAACUCGAGCUAAUACCGCAUACCUUCAGAUGGUCGCAUGGCCGACUGAAGAAAGAAUUUCGCUCUGAGAGGGUCUCGCGGCCUAUCAGCUAGUUGGUGGGGUAACGGCCUACCAAGGCAGCGACGGGUAGCUGGAUUGAGAGAUCGAUCAGCCACACUGGGCCUGAGACACGGCCCAGACUCCUACGGGAGGCAGCAGUGGGGAAUCUUGCGCAAUGGGCGAAAGCCUGACGCAGCAACGCCGCGUGCGGGAUGACGGCCUUCGUGGUUGUAAACCGCUUUCAGCAGGGACGAAAUUGACGGUACCUGCAGAAGAAGCUCCGGCUAACUACGUGCCAGCAGCCGCCGUAAGAC
rnacentral:rRNA from 1 species